rnacentral:misc_RNA from 1 species
GUUUUCGCGUGUCUGUGUAGUCACCCUUCUUUACACGUGGCUUCCAUGCCUGACCUUUAUCUCUAUUGUAUGCUUUCAUUUAUGUUGAAGAAGAUUAGAAGGUCUUUAGCAGAAUCAACCAUGAAAACAAUAUUAAGAGAAUGGUCGUUGCUCCACAGUAGAGACAACAUGGGAAGAAGAGUAGAAGACUACGCAUAUGCGUCCGCCGCACUGGAUGUAGCAUUGAACUUUCAGGCGAAGGAAGAAAGUAACCUAUGGAGUUUAGAAUUGAACAAGUUAUCUUAUAUGUAAGACAAGCAUCUUCGUAGCAUAAUUUGAUCUUGUUCGAGCUAGCUAUAACAAGAAGCAAGGUACAUAGAUGGAAUUAUUGUUCUUGUGAAUUUGUU